rnacentral:rRNA from 1 species
CGUAGAGAAAUCGAGUCUUAAUAGGGCGUUUAGUUGCUGGGUGUAGACCCGAAACCGGGUGAUCUAUCCAUGAGCAGGUUGAAGGUUGGGUAACACUAACUGGAGGACCGAACCCACUGUCGUUGAAAAGCCAGGGGAUGACUUGUGGAUAGGGGUGAAAGGCUAAUCAAACUCGGUGAUAGCUGGUUCUCCCCGAAAGCUAUUUAGGUAGCGCCUCGGACGAAUACCAUUGGGGGUAGAGCACUGUUUCGGCUAGGGGGUCAUCCCGACUUACCAAACCGAUGCAAACUCCGAAUACCAAUGAGUACUAUCCGGGAGACAGACUGCGGGUGCUAACGUCCGUAGUCAAGAGGAAAACAAUCCAGACCGCCAGCUAAGGCCCCAAAAUUAUAGUUAAGUGGGAAACGAUGUGGGAAGGCAUAGACAGCUAGGAGGUUGGCUUAGAAGCAGCCACCCUUUAAAGAAAGCGUAAUAGCUCACUAGUCGAGUCGGCCUGCGCGGAAGAUGUAACGGGGCUAAAACUAUAUGCCGAAGCUGCGGAUUUGCAAUUUAUUGCAAGUGGUAGGGGAGCGUUCUGUAAGCCGAUGAAGGUGUAUUGAGAAGUAUGCUGGAGGUAUCAGAAGUGCGAAUGCUGACGUGAGUAACGACAAUGCGAGUGAAAAACUCGCACGCUGAAAGACCAAGGGUUCCAGUCCAACGUUAAUCGGGGCUGGGUGAGUCGACCCCUAAGGCGAGGCCGAGAGGCGUAGUCGAUGGGAAAUUGGUUAAUAUUCCAAUACUUCUAUGUAAUGCGAUGAGAGGACGGAGAAGGUUAAGUCAGCCUGGCGUUGGUUGUCCAGGUGGAAGGUUGUAGGCAUGUAUCUUAGGCAAAUCCGGGGUACUCUAUGCUGAG